rnacentral:lncRNA from 1 species
AUUGUCGUAGUCUGAGCUAUUGAAAUCUACCAGCCAAAGACCGUGAGGACACUUCUAUGUGGCUCAGAAUGAAGUUUAUUCGGCCUGGUGCAGGAAGGAGACUCCUUAGCAGAGGGAUCCUGGAGGCCUCAAUGAGAAGAGUUGAGAAGAGGACAACAUUUCACAUUUCUGGCAUUGUUACUGACAACACGGCAACUGAAAGCAAGCAUGAAUUUCUGGGAGUAGCAUUAGGGUACAAGACUCCUGCUGAGCGCACCAGUUCCUUGCUCUGCACAGCUGCCUUCUCAGCUGGGGGUUUGAAAUCAGCACUGGGAGAAAAGACCGAAAUGACCAUGACGCAUGUGCCUCUCUAUGAGAAAAGAUAGUGGCGAUUUCAUAUUGCGUGCCCACAUUCAAAGUCUACCAGACUCAAGCUGAAGAACAGGCAGUUUGUGAAAUGAACAAUGCGAUCACUUGCAGAGGGGACGUGGUGAAAUGUUCAUCAUCUAAAGCAACAAUUCCUCCCAGGGAGGCACUGUGUGAGGACUUGGGUAUCCAGCAUGUAGCAAGAAAGACAGAGCCAUAGAACUUGGUAAAGGAAACAAGUUAUACCAAGCAAACAAAGAGAGAAAUGUAGUUUCGAAUUGUGUGGCCGAAGUCCACAGAACAGGAAUCCCAGAAGGAAAAGUGCAGGCUCACGGGCAAGCCGGAAGUGAAGGGGCUGAAGUGGAACUAAUUAGUGUGGACAGUACCCACGUGUGCCUCUCAUUGCUCUCAGGCUUCUGGCUUCAGUGAAGGGCAUCCUGCAUGAGCAGAUGGUGCCUUCCUCAUGAUGAUCAGAACAUACCUGGCCCAUGUUUUGGAGAUGUUGACUCAAUACAACUGGAAGUGAAGGAACUAUUUGUUUGAAAAAAAUUCUUUUCCUCAUUUGAGACUGGUGUUAAGAAAGGUAAAACUUGGACCUGGUUGAGCAUUGUGGUGUGAUGAUACCAUGAUAUGCUAAGGACCAUCCAUGGAAGUGCAUUUGCUUGAUCUCAUAAUUUGUCCCACUUUACCUGUUUUAUGCUAUUGCUUUUUCAUAUGACUUUUCUUAAAAUCACCAAUUUUUGCAUAAAAUGUUCCUAAAGCUAUUUUUGUAAAUAGGAUGACUUUGAUUUCCUUGGUUUGGUGAGUGGUUCUGCCUAUACUUUGCAGAAAUUCUAUUCUUUAAUUCUAGGCUUUGAGGUGGAAUUGUCUGAGACAGGGUUUGCACUCUGAAAAUUUGUAAAUGAUUUACUUCUGGUGUUCAUUCUUGAUCAUUCUGACCCAUGACUUUAAACUGAUUUCCUUCUUCUGAGACAUUCACUCCUUAGGAAUAUUUAACAAAUUCCUUCAGCUAUAUGAUGGAUAACAAGAUACAUCAAAUGUUACAGAGAAUCCACUUGGUUUGAUUAAUAAUCUAUUCCUCUGAAUUGUUUGAGGAGUGGAUGCUUGUACACACUUGUUUAGAAAAAUUUUCUUUAAUUUGAAAUGAAGUACUAGCUGUUGUUAAAAUUUUGCUCAGACUGCUGUUCACAGACAUGCAUCUCUUAUCUCCUUUUCGCUAUUGAUCUGAUUAUUCCAAAUAGUGUUUUCAAUAGGUUAAGAAUAUUUUGUAAAAUGAAAUUGAAAUAUAUUUUGUAAAACUUGUUGUGUUUAUACACAAUAGUCAUUAUAUUGCUUGUAGUACUUGAAAUCACCAAAGUGGUCAAAUGCAUAAUGUUUUCAAAGGAUUUCAUAAAAUGCUUAAUCAAUAAAAUAGUAUCUGGAGAGUUCUAUUGGAAAAAUAAUUUAGAAUUCUCUACAAAGGUUCUCUCCAUGAUUAGUUUUAAUAUUUAUUGCUCUCUGAGAAGUAAUGGUAUUAUUUGCUUUCCCGUGCAUGUUUUCUCUUUAGCCAAACCUAUAAUAAGAUUUCAUAAAUGCCCUGUAUAACAAUGAAAUGUGAUUAUGAAAUCAUUUAAUGACCCAAUUAAUUUUAAAUGGAAAAGUUUUAGUUGGUUCUGAGCAUCUGUAAGGUUUGUAUCUUUCCUCUUGGCAUUCACUGAUUUCAUUACCAAGUUGUGUAAAGAUGUAGGUAUAAAUAUUUUAUGUAACCUUUUCUCUUGGUUCUGUUAUUGCAGUGUUUGAUAUUUAUUAUUUAACUUGUGAUUUCUUAUUAAUAUCUUGCAUAUUGGUUCCAGGGCUAUUGUGAUGAGAGGGAACAAAUUAAACUUACAAUGCCGAGAACUCUCUUAUUUCAGAGUUGCUUAAUUAAAACUAGUUUUGGAGACAGAAAAGGAAAUUAAUGAUUACAAUACUAUUUAACAUUUGUGAUUUUGGAGCAAUGCUCAAAAUAUUCUAAGAACUUAGGAGGAGCUGAGAGGGAUAGAAUUCCAGAAAGUAACACUUGAGCUGCAUGCUAACACUGUUAAAGUUGUAUAUGCCCAUUGAAAAGAAUUACAAAUAAGGGUAUAAAGUUAAAAAUUAACAAAAUAUAUAUAUCAUACUCUGGAGUAGAUCUUGGAGCAUCUAAUUAUAUUAGCAGAAAAACAUAAAAUCUGUGAACAGUUUGGAUAUUUUAAAGUCUUUGUGUUGAUGAGUCCAUUUCAAUGCCUUAAUAAAUAAUAUUGCAAAGGGCACUUGUCUAAAUAUAUUUAUAUAAACCUUAAAUAUAAAAGGAGUGCUUACAAUUCCAAGACAAUAGGAAUAUUAAUAUUUUCGCUGAAAAGUUGUUCUUCAAAUGAUUGUUAAAGUUUAUAAUGUAACAACAUCAUAUGAGAAUGCAUUUCCAGUCAUACUCUUGUCAAACUGGACAUUAUUGUUUAAAAAUAUUAUAUUCUGAAUUAUUCAUUUUAAUCACUUUAAUCCUUAUUUACACUUUCAGUUUCUCAUACUAGAGAAACUAUUUGGUAUUUACACAUGUAUGUCCUAUUAAGAUCUAAAGAGGUAGGGGUUCGUGGGAGGGGAAGGGGAAAGGGAAGAAGGGAAGGGAAAAAUUAUGAGAAAAGAAAAAAAUGG